rnacentral:rRNA from 1 species
UACGGAGGGGGCUAGCGUUGUUCGGAAUGACUGGGCGUAAAGCGCGCGUAGGCGGGCGGUCAAGUUGGGGGUGAAAGCCCGGGGCUCAACCCUGGAACGGCCUCCAAUACUGACGGUCUAGAGUUCGAGAGAGGUGGGUGGAAUUCCGAGUGUAGAGGUGAAAUUCGUAGAUAUUCGGAGGAACACCAGUGGCGAAGGCGGCCCACUGGCUCGACACUGACGCUGAGGUGCGAAAGCGUGGGGAGCAAACAGG